UCUGCUCUCCUCGUUUGGAUUAAUUCUGAUAUAAUAACUGUUGGUUUAUUUAUCGGUGGAGCAGCAGAACCUUUCCCACAGACAGUUUUCCUGCCCGUUGGCUUGUUUUAACCAGUUUUCUGCCUCCAGCUGAUUCUACCAGCAGACACUGAAAAGACUCUGAUAGUUCGAGUGAAAGUAACAGUUCCUCCUGAAGGUCAGAGAUCGCAGCAUCUGAGGGCCUCUUCAAAAGAAGAUGUAGUUGAUGAAGGCGUUCUGGAGCAGGACCAGAAAGACCACGACCAAGCAGCCUUGAGAUCUUAGGCAGCGUCUCCCUCAGGUCCCUCUCUAUCUCCCCACACAUCCACCAACCACUGGAACACAUCUCCAAAGUUCUGCUGGACCAGCUCAGCUUCCCCUCAGAAGAAGUGCCGCCACCUGCCAGAUGAAGGAGCCUUUUGAGAGGCAGCUGGCAUCGUGAUUGGACUGUACUUUGGUCUGUUCCAAUCCAGCUUCAGCCCCAGAGACGGCAGGCGGGACGAGUCAACGGAGGCCGGAUGGACGAAGUCAUGCAGCUGAGUACAAUCCAGAAAACAACAGAGGAGGAGUGCAGGGCCAGAACAACCAGAGUAGCAUGGUAUGUCUCUCAGAAAACAUCAUAGUAUAGCCUUUGGGAUGAAAAAAACGGCAUCAUAUACAUUGUAUAUUGUACAAAUAACAAGUCAAAGGAAAGAGACAUACAUUGUAGAAUUGUAGUAAUUGUGGGCUGACUGAUUUAUUGAUUAUCAGUAUUUUAUUUUUUACUGAUUUACAGUAAUAAAUACAUUUAAAAAUGGUGCUACUUUGGCUCUGAACCUUUAUCUACCUGUGGUCGCUCUGUCUUCUGGAGUGAUUUGAUUGGUUAUACGUCACGAAUAAAACUCUAACAUCUGUAAACAAAAAAACGUAUCAACAAAGUUUUCUGUUAGAGUUUGUGUUCUUCUAAGUUUAACUCCAAGAUUUUAAAUACUUUCAUUUACUGCAAAUGAAUAUCUACUCCAAAUGUCUCACUAAUAAUCAUUAUCAGCCUUAAAAAGCCCACAAAACACCCCUCUAUACUCCACCACACUUAGUACAGUCUGGUUCCCCCUUCUAUAAAUCUGCUUGGAAUCGUCCACUUCCUGUUUGUCAAAGUGGCCUUCUACCUGGACAGGUUUUGUUGGAGCUCAUGCAACAAACAUUUUGGGUAACUGCACUUUAAUAUGGAUGGAUGACACUGAAUUAGAGUCUGUUUUAAUGAGACUGAGUUCAGAUGUGUAGCUCUGUCAUUAAAUAAGAAAUUAUUUCCCAGAAUUCACAGAGAAAAGUCUGAAAUGUUUGCUAGGUUAGCGUCCCACAUGUUCUUUGACUCAGCUAAAGCUAACUCUCUCCAACUUCUGGAUCUCUUGAGUUGCUUGUUGUUAAAAUAUCUU